UAAAAGGUCGGAGGAAGGUGGGGAUGACGUCAAAUCAUCAUGCCCCUUAUGACCUGGGCUACACACGUGCUACAAUGGGCGGUACAAAGGGUCGCGAACCCGCGAGGGGGAGCCAAUCCCAAAAAGCCGCUCUCAGUUCGGAUUGCAGGCUGCAACUCGCCUGCAUGAAGCCGGAAUCGCUAGUAAUCGCGGAUCAGCAUGCCGCGGUGAAUUACCGGUUCCCGGGCCUU
rnacentral:rRNA from 1 species